rnacentral:misc_RNA from 1 species
GGCCCGGUCCGUGAGGGCGACAUCCUCACCCUGCUCGAGUCUGAGAGGGAGGCCAGGAGGCUGCGCUGAAGCUGUGGCGGUUGUGUUAUUUCGUGGUUCCUGCCUUUUGAAAGUAAAAUGCCAUAUUGUCGCCUUAUUUCGUGUACUGCUUUUCCGGUCCAGUUCUUGAACAAUGGUUUGUCUUUCUGAGUAGGCCUUAUAUGUUAUGAGUUAAGAGCAAUGGAAAUGUA